UCACACACACACACACACAUAAAAAGGAGACUGCGCUGACCUAGAAACUAUAUUUGUGUGAUAUGCAGUAUGCAGUAGCAGUAUUAGUAAUUAUUUCAUGUAUUCUGAGCCUUCAUAUUUCCUGUUAAAUUCUUUUGGUUCGUUGUUGGUGUCUGUCUGGUCUGGUGGUUGGUUUGGUUGGUUAGAAAGGUUCUCACCGGUUUGCGAACACGUU
rnacentral:lncRNA from 1 species